GUACUUUAGAUAUGUUGGGUUUAUUUUUAAUUUUUCAAAAUGUGGCUAAUAGAAAAUUUAAAGUUAUAUAUGUAGCUUACAUAAUAUUUCUAUUUGCUGUAGGAUUCAGUGGCUUACCCAGCACUUCAGAAGACAUUUGAAAAUCAGUCAUGUUCCUCAACCAAGUGAUGCCUUUUAGCGGUGCAAAUUCUGUGCUUAGGAAACUUGCUGCUUGCCCUAAUCUUUUCUUUUUUUGUUUUAAAAUGUGUCAUGUGGCAUUUAAUUGUCCUCAUCUUAUCAAGGGUUCAGUGCACCCUAAUGAGACUUGAAUGCAUCACAAAAUGAUGGAGGAAGGUAGCCUGGGCCCAACUGAACUCACUGUGUAUUCAGAAAAUAACCCACAGUUGGGAAAUUCACAGUGCCAUUGCUUUGAAUCAAAUCCUUACUUCAUACCAG
rnacentral:lncRNA from 1 species